rnacentral:rRNA from 1 species
UACGAAGGGUGCAACCGUUGCUCGGAAUCAUUGGGCGUAAAGCGCACGUAGGCGGCUUCGCAAGUCGGAUGUGAAAUCCCUCGGCUCAACCAAGGACGUGCAUCCGAAACUGCGAAGCUUGAGUACAGAAGAGGAUCGCGGAAUUCCCGGUGUAGAGGUGAAAUUCGUAGAUAUCGGGAGGAACACCAGUGGCGAAGGCGGCGAUCUGGGCUGAUACUGACGCUGAGGUGCGAAAGCGUGGGGAGCAAACAGG